rnacentral:rRNA from 1 species
ACGCUCGACACCUACGGGGAGGCNGCAGGUGGGGAAUAUUGCACAAUGGGGGAAACCCUGAUGCAGCGACGCCGCGUGAGUGAAGAAGUAUUUCGGUAUGUAAAGCUCUAUCAGCAGGGAAGAAGAUGACGGUACCUGAGUAAGAAGCCCCGGCUAACUACGUGCCCGCAGCCGCGGUAAUCUGAGCGGGCUGGCAAGGC